CAGUCGCCGCGGGAAUACGUAGGGUGCAAGCGUUAAUCGGAAUUACUGGGCGUAAAGCGCACGUAGGCGGAUAUUUAAGUCAGGGGUGAAAUCCCGCAGCUCAACUGCGGAACUGCCUUUGAUACUGGGUAUCUUGAGUAUGGAAGAGGUUAGUGGAAUUGCGAGUGUAGAGGUGAAAUUCGUAGAUAUUCGCAGGAACACCAGUGGCGAAGGCGGCUAACUGGUCCAUAACUGACGCUGAGGUGCGAAAGCGUGGGGAGCAAACAGGAUUAGAUACCCCCGUAGUCCCUGUCUCUUAUAA
rnacentral:rRNA from 1 species